GACGAACGCUGGCGGCGUGCUUAACACAUGCAAGUCGAACGGAAAGGCCCUGCUUUUGUGGGGUGCUCGAGUGGCGAACGGGUGAGUAACACGUGAGUAACCUGCCCUUGACUUUGGGAUAACUUCAGGAAACUGGGGCUAAUACCGGAUUGGAGCUCCUGCUGCAUGUUGGGGGUUGGAAUGUUUCGGCGGUUGGGGAUGGACUCGCGGCUUAUCAGCUUGUUGGUGGGGUAGUGGCUUACCAAGGCUUUGACGGGUAGCCGGCCUGAGAGGGUGACCGGCCACAUUGGGACUGAGAUACGGCCCAGACUCCUACGGGAGGCAGCAGUGGGGAAUAUUGCACAAUGGGCGGAAGCCUGAUGCAGCAACGCCGCGUGCGGGAUGACGGCCUUCGGGUUGUAAACCGCUUUCGCCUGUGACGAAGCGUGAGUGACGGUAAUGGGUAAAGAAGCACCGGCUAACUACGUG
rnacentral:rRNA from 1 species